CGACGAAGCAGUAAGAGGAGGAGGUACUGACACAGGCUGAGUGGGAGAGAGGCAGAGAGCAGCACUUCAAGAUACCCAGUUCUGCAUUCUGAUUUUCAACUCUUCCCCAGAUCAGGAUGCACAGUAAUAGAGAUACAAAGCAGCGUCAAUAAACCACAUACUUUGAAAAGGUGCUGGGCCUCUGAAAGGGGUUAGAACACCUGCAGUAGUGAACACUAACUGUGGGAGUUGAACAAGCUGCGGAUCAAGUUCACAGUUUGUAGUCAUUGUUCAGAAGACUCCUGGGGCAUGGAUGACUGGAAGUAAUGUCUGUCAAUGUGGAUGGACAGAACUGAGUGAGACAGUUUGCAUAGCAUUGUCUUCUUUCUUUGGUAUAGCCAGCAUUGCUCUUCAAGUGUCAUGAGCACUAUAUUAAAACAGUUCGUGGAAUGGUAGAAACAGGCUUUUGAACACCUCUUCAGACACCUUCCAAAAUAAUAGAAAUAAAAAUACUCAGCAGUUGCAUAGCACUCUAAAUCGUCAAAGCAUGUUACAAACCUUACCUCGAUGUUAUUAAAGGUCAAGAAUGGUACUGUUUUUGACUAAAACCUGAAAAUUAGGAACACUUUUUUCUGUAAAUUUAAAAAUUAACCUGAGCUUGAAUCCUUAUGUUCUUAUUUUUGCUAUUUGUGUAUAUCCUCAUCAUUAUUUUAUUGUUGAAGCUUCCAAAAGUGCGCAGAUUCACAGAACUAAUAGAGACAAAGAGUUUUAUAACUAAGGCUCUGUUCCCAGGGGCUCAUGCAUGGGCAGAAGGAUCACCUUGCAGGAACGGGGCCUAAUAAUGCUCUAUAUAAUGAGUCAGGUUUGUGGGGAGAGAAUAGGGGUAGAGAAGGGCCUGUAGUAUAGUAAUAAUAUUGUACUGUUUAGACUUGCUACAGGAGUAUAAAUCUUCAAAGGCCUGUACAAAUUACCAGUUAAUCCUUAAAAUGCCUACAAGGUAUGAAACAAUUUCCUGUUCAAAUAUGAGGAACAUCAGGCAAGGGGAGGGCUGAUGAUUCAUGGUGCUUUCAUCUCCCAAGGUGGAUCAGCACACUGGUUAAAUGUCUGGGCAGAGAUCACAGAGUGAGGUCUGGCCUACACUACAGGGUUAGGUUGACAUAAGUUGCCUUGUGUCAACGCAGUGGAAGUGUCUUCACUUAAAUUUGGCUCCUACCAAUGCAAGUGCCUCUCUACAGCAAUGUAGUAACACUACCUGCCUGAAUGGCAUCAAGUCAUAGUUGAUGUAAUUAAGUUGAUGAAAUGUCAAUGUAGUAGACGCUGUUGCUUAUGUGGACUAUUUACUAGUUUUCAGGAGCCACCCCACACUUACAAUACAAUUGAUACAAGUGAUCCUGGUAAGGACUCUGACACACCGAGU